CCUCCUGCUGGCUGGCCAGGACUGGCUGCUGCCCGGCCCCCGAUUCUCUCCACAGCUGCACUUCCCCAUUAAAGUACACAUUCUGGAAUCCCCCUUGCAGGGCCCUGGUGAUGGGGCCUCCCACUGACCUCCAGCCACCAACUCCAGGCUUCAGAUGCGAACCAGGCAGGAGGGGGGCCUCACCCCUCCACAGCCCCCCCAGGAAAUGUCACAGUGCCAGGACUCUGGUGGGCCCAGGGCAUGCUCUGGCCGGGAUCAAGCCAGCCUCCUUUGCCCCUGCCCUUUUCUGCUCACAGCCCCAUUGUCUCCCCAGAAGGGAAGCUGCCAAGGCUGAGGCCUGGAAAAGGGACUGGAUGGCUACCCCACCCCCAAGCCAUCCCUACUCUGGAGCUUGAUGGAGAGCCAGCAUCAGCAUUGACCAGGAAGGAUCAGGGGCCCCAGAUAAAGGCGGGAUGGCCUAAUGACCAGGACCAGCAUGGACACACAAAGCAGUGACGUGCUACAGACCAAAUCCAUUGUCGAUGGGAAGAAAAGGAGAUGGAGGGAGACCUCCAUAGGACAAGAGACCUCACACGUAUAAAGAACAAAAGAUGCAAAGUUGUGCUCCAGUGUUUAUAGGGCAGGCAAAUUACAAAUGCUCACCUUACCACGAGGCUAUAGAUAAACCCUCCAUCAACCGAAUAUAUCCUGCGUGGACAAUGCAUUCAAUACAUCUAACCCACUGAGUGCAGUAGCUUGGCCUGACAUCUCAUGGGCAUGCUCAGAACCCUUACAUUAGUCACUUGAUUUAUAAUAAAGCACUGACUAUUUCAUAUAA